rnacentral:misc_RNA from 1 species
NUAAACUGGAACGACACUGAGAGAUUNCAUGGCUGUGAAGGAUGAACGCAAAACCGUGAAGCGUUCCACACCCN